ensembl:lncRNA
GUAAGCGGAGGGGGGGUGGGGGAGGGGUGACGCCGACAACGGGACCUGGACCAGCCUGAAGUGGCACAGGCUGUCCCCAAAGUCAUGCCCACAUCCCCGUCAGGACUCGGAUUGGCAAGAUGGAGAGGGAUGUAAAUGGGUUGACUUGGGCCACGCGGGUGCCCUCCUGCGCGGGAAGCCUGAAGAGCCAGGCGUCCACCGCACCCUUGCCCUGGAAGCUGAUUUGCUAAUCCUCCAGCCUCCCCUGACACUCACGUACCUCAUCUGACUCACUGUGAGGUCACUGAUCCUUUACGCCCAAGUCUAUUGCCUGUAAAGUGCUGGCGAUUUUAAUGGGGGUUUUAUGAAGUUGAGUCACUUCAGGGUGUGGGGCUCUUCAGAGGCAGAGGGGUCACGCCGAGUGAAAGUGAACUACCUUGGCGGAGAAGCCUGUCCACCAGCUGAACGAUUUAAUUACAUGCCAUCUUGAUUUAAAGAGAUUUACGUGCGCGUGAGGACAGCUGGACAGUUACAUGCCGGUACUUUAGUAUUGGAUUGUUACAGCCAGCGGGCAAGCAGAUGGCAUCACUGCUGAGAGAGGUUCCAGCAUGAAGGAUGAUGCACUGAGCUCCCAGAUCAUAAUUGGAGGAAGAUUAGCCCUGAGCUAACAUCCACCACCAAUCCUCCUCUUUUUGCUGAGCUAACGUCAAUGCCCAUCUCCCUCUACUUUAUACGUGGGACGCCUACCACAGCAUGGCUUGACAAGCGAUGCAGAGAAAGUUCCUCACUGUCAGCUUUUGGUUAUGAGACUGUGUGGGUGGAGCUCUUCCUCUGAGAUGAGCCCAUUGGAGACUCCUGUCCUAGGCCUGUACCACUGAGAGAAAGAGAAAGAGAAGUCACGUCUAUCUGAAUGACUGCACAAUGGAACAGCAUGAUCCAGGGCCUGGCACUUGGCCCAGGGCACCUUGCACGUGGUGCCCAGUAAGUGUUUGAAGUGACUUGGGUAACUCGCACCUGUGUGCUGAUGACCUGCCUGUCUUGACUGGAGGCCACCCCUCUCAACAGUUUGCAAGCAACCCCAUGAAGUAGGUGCUGCCACCUCUAAUACAGACGCACAUGAUGUCCCACGCAGUUGUGAUUUAUCCCAGGUCACACAGCAGCAGAGCUGAGGCUGGAAUGCAAGACUCCUGCAUUCAAGGCCAGUGUCUCUCUACCAAACCCAGGAAUCUGAACGUCCUUGGAUAGGAAGAGUCCGUGGCAUGAGAUGUCCAGACAGCCUUCUGUGGACUGUGGCCGUGGAAAACCAUCUGCUGAGAUGAGCAAAUCCAGAGUCUACUAAAUACCAGCAAUUGUCCUGCCGAGAACAGUUCUGUGCUCUGUGGGGAUGGGUGAUGCGAGUCAAGGAAAUUAUAGGCUGCCCAGCCACCAGACCUUCUGAAAAGAUUAUGGGGUGACUUACUGAUCUUUAGGUGGGUCAGGGGUUUUGAGGGAAGCUUAGAUUUAAAGCAUGUAGUUAGAGUUGAAAAGACUGGGUUUGGAAUCUCAGAGUUCAAGAGACCAGGCCUGGAGUCUCAGAGAGAUACAGGGUGGAAAGAGCUCCAGGCAAAAAUCUGGGCUCUAGUCCUGGUCCUGACACAGCGGGUGGGUGGACCCCCUCAGAGCCUCUGCACGGCAGCUGGGGCAGCCCCUCCGUCUUACAGAGUAGAAAAGCGCAGCUCAGCAAGCACAGGGGCUUGCUCGAGUCCUCCAGAUGAUUGGAGUGAGAACCAGGACUACAACUCACACGUUUUGAUGUCCCGGCCAGGAUGCUUUCUAAUACUUGAAAUCAUCGAAGUUCAGUACUCCUCUGUCAAAUUUUCUCUUCUUCUUUGGCAGCUUUCCUGGAGCUUCAGAUAUGCUACUUUUAAUACAUUUCAUAUGUAAUGAUGGAGGUGUAACUAGAGACAACCACAAAAAAAGUCAAUACAAGAGAAGGAGUUUGGGAGGUUUCGGUGUGAGUAUUGACCUUUGCCCCUCGUUCUGGGUUGAAGUGUGUUGCUCCCCCAAGUUCAUGUGUUGAACUCUCAACCUUCAGCACCUCAGAAUGUGACCUUAUUUGGAAAUAGGGUCACUGCACAUGUGAUGAGUUAAGAUGAAGUCAUACUGCAGCGGGUGGUCCCCAAUCCCACGUGACUAGUGUCCUUAGAAAGAGAGAAACCUGGACACAGACUCGCACACAGGGAGCACGUCGUGUGAAGAUGAAGGCACAGAUCCGGGUGGUAUUCCUAUGCGCCAAAGGUGGCCAGUAAACCACCGGACGCCAGGAGAGAGCCUGGAACAGAUUCUCCCUCACAUCCUCAGAGGGAAACAAUCCUGCUGGCACCUCGGUUUUGGACUGCUGGCCUCCAGAACUGUGCAACAAGUUUCUGCUGUUUAAGGCACCCGGUCUGUGGUGCUUGGUUGGAGCAGCCCCAGCAGACGCACGUGCUCUCCUCACCUGGUGCCCUUCUCAGAUGAGCACCGCGCUGGUUGUCCAUCGUGUGGUCUUUGUCAGCUUUUUCUCCUACCCAUGUAUUUAAUGCUCUUGAAAAUAUUUUUCUUAGUACUGAAAAGAGCUUGGUAACGGGGAAAAAACUUAGGGAAAAAGUAAGCAUCCAAUUUAAUUUUAAAGACUUUUAGUUUUAGGUUUUUUUGGACACAGAAUGAAAAACAUUCUCUAAAGCAAUUUCUUUAACAAUUUUGUCAAGGACUUUAUUGGCAUUCUCCUGUUUAGCCUACAGACCUAGGGUCAUUUAUCCAUCAAUUUGGUCCCAGAGUUUAUAUUACCUGUGAGAUUUGUGUCAAACUCUCCCUAACAGACAAUGAACUCCUUUUUUUUUGCCCUGAUUACUGCCCUCCCUUCCUAGCCAUGUCAGAAGCGCUCCCAGAGCACCAGGAUCAUUUGUUCUGUAGAGUAGCUGCUAAAAGUUCCCACCUCUUGUGGUGGAUCCCUUCAAGGUCCACUCUCCUAGUGAUGUCCUUGGCCUGAGCUGACCAGUCAGAAGCCAUGUCACAGACAGUCGAGCUGCCCUCUGCAGUCAAGUCCUCACAGGGGUGGCCUGGCAGGGGACCAUCACACGCGUCAGGGCUAUGCUUGCCUUUGUAGAUCCUGAAACUUAGCUUUGUCCCCUCGUUCAGAACUGUUCUAACUGCUUUGUGAGAAUGAAACUCUUAGCAAAAGGACAUGUGAGCCUGCAUGUCAAGAGGUGUGUAUCUGCCUGAGAAUUGGGGUAUCCACGCCGCUAGUGCCGAUGCUGCGUAGCAAGAGCUGGGUCGGAACAAAGGGAGCUGGUGCCUCUGAGAAAGUCUCAUGACCACUCCUGCCCCACAAAGCCGUUAAGUCCUCAUAUUCUGCACAGACCAGCUUACAUCUGUUACCAAAUUCUCCAGACAGGGUCAAAUACAAUUGAUCAGGUUAAAGCUUUCCGUUAGAUUAAUUAUACAGUUAACUAUAUAAAAUUGCCAUUUUUGUGGGUCAAAAACAGCCCGGUGUUGACAAGUUCACAUAGUUCGACCUAAUAGGUUUUUAAACUUUUAAUUUUAAUUUAAUUAUAGAUGAGCAAGAAGUUGCAAAAAUAGAAGUCCCAUGUCCCCAUCACCCAGCUUCCCCCAGUGGUGGCAUCUUACAUGAUAUGGCUCUCUAUCAAAACCAGGACGCUGACGUUGGCACUGUGCACUUGACGAGUUUACAGGUCGUACUUGGAUUUCCCCAACCUAAUAGCUUAGGGGGCUGCUCCGAGUUACUUCCACGGUGACACAUUUAACAAUCUUUCAGGCUCCAUUUAUUUUGUAGAUGAUAGGGCUUUCAUUUUAAAGUUUUUGCAAAUAUUACAUUGUCAAGAUAAGAAUUCAAACAAUACAAUUGUGUAUAAUUGUGUAGCGUGUGAAAGCUUCCUCCUUUCUCUGUCACUCGGUGGAAUUAACUACUGUUAGAAGUUCAAUGGGAAUCUCUCUGCUUUUUUUGUACGGAGAUAUACGUAUGUAACUUCUUAAAAAAUCAUAUUUGUAAACCAUUUGUCUCAUUA